AAUGAACGCUGGCGGCGUGGUUAAGACAUGCAAGUCGAACGGUUUUUUUGGUGUAGCAAUAUAUUGAAAAGGCAGUGGCGAACGGGUGCGUAACACGUGAACAAUCUACCUUUUAGUGGGGAAUAGCUCGUCGAAAGGCGAAUUAAUACCGCAUAUGAUUGAUGCUCUCCUGAGUGUCAUAUCAAAGUCGGGGACCGCAAGGCCCGACGCUGGAAGAGGAGUUCGCGGCCUAUCAGCUAGGUGGUGAGGUAACGGCCCACCAAGGCUAAGACGGGUAGCCGGUCUGAGAGGAUGAUCGGCCACACUGGAACUGAGACACGGUCCAGACGCCUACGGGUGGCAGCAGUUUCGAAUCAUUCACAAUGGGCGAAAGCCAGAUGGUGCGACGCCGCGUGAGGGAUGAAGGUCUUCGGAUUGUAAACCUCUGUCACUGGGGAAGAAACGCUGAAUCCUAAUACGAUUCAGCCUGACUUAACCCGGAGAGGAAGCAGUGGCUAACUCUGUGCCAGCAGCCGCCGCCG
rnacentral:rRNA from 1 species